AUUGAACGCUGGCGGAAUGCUUUACACAUGCAAGUCGAACGGCAGCACGGACUUCGGUCUGGUGGCGAGUGGCGAACGGGUGAGUAAUGUAUCGGAACGUGCCCAGUCGUGGGGGAUAACGUAGUGAAAAUUACGCUAAUACCGCAUACGAUCUAUGGAUGAAAGCGGGGGAUCGCAAGACCUCGCGCGAUUGGAGCGGCCGAUAUCAGAUUAGGUAGUUGGUGGGGUAAAGGCCCCCCAAGCCAACGAUCUGUAGCUGGUCUGAGAGGACGACCAGCCAACCUGGACCGGAGACACGGUCCAGACUCCUACGGGAGGCAGCAGUGGGGAAUUUUGGACAAUGGGCGAAAGCCUGAUCCAGCCAUUCCGCGUGCAGGAUGAAGGCCCUCGGGUUGUAAACUGCUUUUGUACAGAACGAAAAGGUUUCUACUAAUACUAGGAGCUCAUGACGGUACUGUAAGAAUAAGCACCGGCUAACUACGUGCCAGCAGCCGCCGUAA
rnacentral:rRNA from 1 species